UAGGGAAUCUUCGGCAAUGGGGGGAACCCUGACCGAGCAACGCCGCGUGAGUGAAGAAGGUUUUCGGAUCGUAAAGCUCUGUUGUUAAGGAAGAACGAGUGUGAGAAUGGAAAGUUCAUGCUGUGACGGUACUUAACCAGAAAGGGACGGCUAACUACGUGCCAGCAGCCGCGGUAAUACGUAGGUCCCGAGCGUUGUCCGGAUUUAUUGGGCGUAAAGCGAGCGCAGGCGGUUAGAAAAGUCUGAAGUGAAAGGCAGUGGCUCAACCAUUGUAGGCUUUGGAAACUGUUUAACUUGAGUGCAGAAGGGGAGAGUGGAAUUCCAUGUGUAGCGGUGAAAUGCGUAGAUAUAUGGAGGAACACCGGUGGCGAAAGCGACUUUCUGGCCAUAUACUGACGCUGAGGUACGAAAGCGUGGGUAGCAAACAGG
rnacentral:rRNA from 1 species